CAACCUCCCGUGGCUGGCAAGUGGAAGACGGACCCACUAGAAGCAGCAGACAGAACUGUUCGGGGUUCUUUGCUCACACUGGCGGAGAAAGGGAUUGGUGGAGAAACUUGAAAAGGAUGAAAUAGAAAACUAAAUUGAAAACUGGGAUAUAACAGCAAAGAAAUGAGGGUAGAAUCACGCAGAAUGUUACACAGUCUACAACAAACACAUAUAACAGAAGGGGGAAGUUAUUAUGAAAAGGUGAAGCCUUGUGUAAAGUUGGAGCUAUUCCCUACACCUUUCUUGGAUUUGUCACCCAGUGAAGAACAUUCUCAUUGUGCCUCUUGAUGUAUGUAAUCCACAUUGCAACAGGGAGGAGAAGUUUGAGGAAGAUCCU